ACGGCGGCUAACGGAACAAGGCUCGGAUUUUCCGUGAAAGUGACUCGAGUGCGAAAUGAUAUUUUAAGAAACAAAGCGAAUCAGGCCAGAGCCAAAGUGCAAACAAAACGAAAAGUGUUCAGCAGCAAACAUCGCACCCACAAAAGGAUCGGGGCCCAAGGAGCCACAGACUGCACUCCAAUGCAGUCCCCACUGUAGCCCAGAGCAAAGAAUUUCCUUUCUUCGCCCAAACUGAAGCAAUUAACUGAAAAUGUAGCAGUGGCAAGAACAUGGCCCAACUGGAACACCAAAUGCCA